AAUAGAUACCCCGGUAGUCCACGCCGUAAACGAUGAGUGCUAGGUGUUGGGGGGGUCCACCCCUCGGUGCCGAAGUUAACACAUUAAGCACUCCGCCUGGGGAGUACGGUCGCAAGACUGAAACUCAAAGGAAUUGACGGGGACCCGCACAAGCAGUGGAGUAUGUGGUUUAAUUCGAAGCAACGCGAAGAACCUUACCAGGUCUUGACAUCCCUCUGAAUCCUCUAGAGAUAGAGGCGGCCUUCGGGACAGAGGAGACAGGUGGUGCAUGGUUGUCGUCAGCUCGUGUCGUGAGAUGUUGGGUUAAGUCCCGCAACGAGCGCAACCCUUGAAUUUAGUUGCCAGCACUUUGGGUGGGCACUCUAGAUUGACUGCCGGUGACAAACCGGAGGAAGGCGGGGAUGACGUCAAAUCAUCAUGCCCCUUAUGACCUGGGCUACACACGUACUACAAUGGCCGGUACAACGGGCAGCGAAGGAGCGAUCCGGGGCCAAUCCUACCAAAGCCGGUCUCAGUUCGGAUUGCAGGCUGCAACUCG
rnacentral:rRNA from 1 species